rnacentral:tRNA from 1 species
AGGGGUAUAGUGUCAGUGGUUAGCACGUCGGUCUCCAAAACCGAAAGGCCGGGUUCAAGUCCUGGUACCCCUG